rnacentral:tRNA from 1 species
UCCUCCGUGGCGCAAUUGGCUAGCGCGUCUGACUGUUAUUCAACAGAUUAUCAGGAGGUUGACAGUUCAAGCCUGUCCGGGGGAG